CGGCGGACGGGUGAGCAACACGUGGAUAACCUACCUAUAAGACUGGGAUAACUUCGGGAAACCGGAGCUAAUACCGGAUAAUAUUUUGAACCGCAUGGUUCAAAGUAAAAGACGGUCUUGCUGUCACUUAUAGAUGGAUCCGCGCUGCAUUAGCUAGUUGGUAAGGUAACGGCUUACCAAGGCAACGAUGCAUAGCCGACCUGAGAGGGUGAUCGGCCACACUGGAACUGAGACACGGUCCAG
rnacentral:rRNA from 1 species